UUUAUGGAGAGUUUGAUCCUGGCUCAGGAUGAACGCUGGCGGCGUGCCUAAUACAUGCAAGUCGAGCGAACGGACGAGAAGUUUGCUUCUCUGAUGUUAGCGGCGGACGGGUGAGUAACACGUGGAUAACCUACCUA
rnacentral:rRNA from 1 species